UACGUAGGGGGCAAGCGUUGUCCGGAUUUAUUGGGCGUAAAGAGCGUGUAGGCGGCCAGACAGGUCCGUUGUGAAAACUCGAGGCUCAACCUCGAGACGCCGAUGGAAACCGUCUGGCUAGAGUCCGGAAGAGGAGAGUGGAAUUCCUGGUGUAGCGGUGAAAUGCGCAGAUAUCAGGAGGAACACCGGUGGCGAAGGCGGCAUCCUGGACCAAUUCUGACGCUGAGGAGCGAAAGCCAGGGGAGCAAACGGG
rnacentral:rRNA from 1 species